rnacentral:rRNA from 1 species
UACAGAGGGUGCAAGCGUUGUUCGGAAUUACUGGGCGUAAAGCGUGCGUAGUCGGUAUUGAGAGUCGCGGGUGAAAUCCCAGGGCUUAACCCUGGAACUGCCUGCGAGACCUCAGUACUAGAGUGUGGAGAGGGAUAGUGGAAUACCAAGUGUAGCGGUGAAAUGCGUAGAGAGUUUGGUGGAACACCGGUGGCGAAGGCGGCUAUCUGGCUCA